rnacentral:rRNA from 1 species
GACGAACGCUGGCGGCAUGCCUAAUACAUGCAAGUCGAGCGGACUUGAUGAGAAGCUUGCUUCUCAGAUAGUUAGCGGCGGACGGGUGAGUAACACGUAGGCAACCUGCCCUCAAGCUUGGGACAACUACCGGAAACGGUAGCUAAUACCGAAUACUUGUUUUCUUCGCCUGAAGGAAACUGGAAAGACGGAGUAAUCUGUCACUUGGGGAUGGGCCUGCGGCGCAUUAGCUAGUUGGUGAGGUAACGGCUCACCAAGGCGACGAUGCGUAGCCGACCUGAGAGGGGGAUCGGCCACACUGGGACUGAGACACGGCCCAGACUCCUACGGGAGGCAGCAGUAGGGAAUAUUCCGCAAUGGGCGAAAGCCUGACGGAGCAAUGCCGCGUGAGUGAUGAAGGUUUUCGGAUCGUAAAGCUCUGUUGCCAGGGAAGAACGCUUGGGAGAGUAACUGCUCCCAAGGUGACGGUACCUGAGAAGAAAGCCCCGGCUAACUACGUGCCAGCCGCCGCCGUAA